UACAGAGGUCCCGAGCGUUGUUCGGAUUCACUGGGCGUAAAGGGUGCGCGGGUGGGUUGGCAAGUUUGAUGUGAAAGCCCCGGGCUUAACCCGGGAAUGGCAUUGAAUACUGCUGAUCUGGAGGAUCGGAGGGGGGACUGGAAUUCUUGGUGUAGCAGUGAAAUGCGUAGAUAUCAAGAGGAACACCAGUGGCGAAGGCGAGUCCCUGGACGAUACCUGACACUGAGGCACGAAAGCCGGGGGAGCAAACAGG
rnacentral:rRNA from 1 species